GAAUCAGGGAAUCAAAUCUGGACAGAAAUAGAGAGAUGUAUGCCCUAGAAAAGCCCUAAUCUUUAGUAGAAAGGAAAAGUGAGUGAGCUUCAAGAGACAGAAAUGAAAAACCCUAAUUGCACCGGAGAUGUUAAUUGAGCACUAGAAUAUUCUGUUGUUCUAGAUAAGGAACAUUAAAAUAAAAAUAAAAUAAAAUAGAGGAAAAGGACUUUGAAUUUGGAUUUGGAUUCGUUAGAACAGAAAUGUGAAAAUCAGAAAAGAAAUGAAAUCUUACGUUAGGGUAAAAGUCUCCUGCAUCUGUUUUUUUAUUUUUUUAUUUAUUUUUCUCUAGUUUGCCUCCUGCUUCAUAGUGAGCUGAAGCUAAAGAAUUUGCUUUGCAGUGCCAAUGGAGGAGAGAGAAGCCUGCCUUUCCUUUUCAUUUGCUUUGCAGUGCCAGUGGAGGAGAAAGAAGGUUUGGGUUCAUGGACAAUGGGCCCAUGAGGCCUAUAUUCAAUAAUGGAUUACGAG
rnacentral:lncRNA from 1 species